GUGAACGCUGGCGGUAGGCCUAACACAUGCCAGUCGAACGGCAGCACAGUAAGAGCUUGCUCUUACGGGUGGCGAGUGGCGGACGGGUGAGGAAUACAUCGGAAUCUACUUUUUCGUGGGGGAUAACGUAGGGAAACUUACGCUAAUACCGCAUACGACCUACGGGUGAAAGCAGGGGAUCUUCGGACCUUGCGCGAUUGAAUGAGCCGAUGUCGGAUUAGCUAGUUGGCGGGGUAAAGGCCCACCAAGGCGACGAUCCGUAGCUGGUCUGAGAGGAUGAUCAGCCACACUGGAACUGAGACACGGUCCAGACUCCUACGGGAGGCAGCAGUGGGGAAUAUUGGACAAUGGGCGCAAGCCUGAUCCAGCCAUACCGCGUGGGCGAAGAAGGCCUUCGGGUUGUAAAGCCCUUUUGUUGGGAAAGAAAAGCAGCAGGUUAAUACCCCGCUGUUCUGACGGUACCCAAAGAAUAAGCACCGGCUAACUUCGUG
rnacentral:rRNA from 1 species